GACGAACGCUGGCGGCGUGCUUAACACAUGCAAGUCGAACGAUGAAGCCGGAGCUUGCUCUGGUGAAUUAGUGGCGAACGGGUGAGUAACACGUGAGUAACCUGUCCUUGACUCUGGGAUAACUGCGGGAAACUGUAGCUAAUACCGGAUACGACCCUCGGAGGCAUCUCCUGGGGGUGGAAAGAAUUUCGGUCAAGGAUGGACUCGCGGCCUAUCAGCUAGUUGGUGAGGUAACGGCUCACCAAGGCGACGACGGGUAGCCGGCCUGAGAGGGGGAACGGACACACUGGGAAGGAGACACGGCCCAGAAUCCGACGGGAGGCAGCAGUGGGGAAUAUUGCACAAUGGGCGCAAGCCUGAUGCAGCAACGCCGCGUGAGGGAUGACGGCCUUCGGGUUGUAAACCUCUUUUAGCAGAGAAGAAGCGAAAGUGACGGUACCUGCAGAAAAAGCACCGGCUAACUACGUGCCAGCCGCCGCAGUAA
rnacentral:rRNA from 1 species